GGUUCCGCUUUCAGGGCUGUUUGUUUCCCUUCCCUGUUGGCUGCAGGGUAGCUGGAGCCGGGUCGGUCCGGCCCGGGCCCGGGCUGGGAGCGAGACGAGGUGGGGGCGGUAACAGCUUCUGUUUACUUAUAACCUAUCAAAGAUGUUCCCUCCCCCACCUGGUCUCUCUGCUCCCCUCCAGUCGCGGGCAGGCGAGAAGCGGAAUAUCCCUUAGGGGAGUAUCCUGAGUGCCGAAACCUAACGUGUGGUAGUUAGGACGUGUGUCAACAUCCAGAACGUGAACAAGCCCAAGGAGGGCCCCAAAGGAGCUGAUGUUUCAAGAUCAGAAAAUGUUGGAAUGACACUCAACUAAUUUGCUCUAUUAAAAUGUGUAAGUGUCAGACCAGAUCCCCAUGUGACACUGCUGUAGGGUCUAGAAGGAUGAAGGAGCAGACUACCAUGUUGAACAGAAAUGUGUUGUUUUACAAGUAGUUCUCCUAUGAACCACUGCUUAUUUGAAGUUACCUAAUUGUGUGUGUGUAAUAGUCACAGAACAUGGGACUUAUUGAAUCUGAAAAGUUAGACUACCAACUAAGAAAUAAAUUAAUUAAUUAAUCCUGUAGAAUCUUAAAUCACUUUUUGCAAACAAAGCCAGACUUUCCCAGUUAUACUAAAAGACAAAAUAGAUAAACAGAUCAGCAGCACAUAUUAGCGCUUUUCUUGUCAUAGUUAUUAUUUUUUUAAUUAAAUAAAAUGUUGGAUAAAAAGUUAUGUUCCAGUGCUAAUAAACAUUAAUAGAAAUCUUGAUCAGCUUUCAGAAGAAAGUAAGAUCAUUUCCAAGUUGUGUUUUCCCAGAAUAUAUUUAAAGAUUGUGUUGUACUGUCAACCUAAAGUGCAUCUAUUACACCUCAAUGGAGGCUACUAUUUACAAAACAUAUAAUAAACCCAUACAGUUAUCAG